GCAGCAAAGUGAGUUUUAGGCAAAGAGAUACCACAUUUAAACUUCAGGAUCUGAUUCUUCUGUUCAUUUUCCUUCCCUUUUGCCACUGGAAAUUUCUCUGGCAAGAAGAAAAAUACCUGUCCGAUAUCAGUGCUCAUCUUUGCUGACUAAGGCAGGUCAGCUGCAGGAUCAUCCCACCCCUUGGACUGCAGGGAUGGAGGAGAAGAGAUGGGUCCUGUUGGCUCUGGCACUUCUUCUGGCUAUCCCUUUCUCAGGUGCAUCUCAGUGGGUUCCUGCCUCCUGGAUACAGCUCCCUUUAUUCCUUCUCACACUGGCUGCUGGUGCUGUUCUAGUAUUUCAAGGAAGGAGAGUGGACUCCCUGGAAACUGUUUGGCUGAAGAAUCACCAGCACCUCUACCAAAAAAUUCAGACUCUCCAGGAAGCUUUCCAAAAUGAGCAGGAGUCCACACGGUGUGAUAUUCAGCUCCUCAAAACAGACCUGGAGAAUAUAUUAGGAUUGAGAGUAGAGGCAAAUACUACAAAAGCUUUGGAAUCCAUGUGGAAGAAGGAUGUCCAUGAAGUGUCCCAACAAGUUCAAACUCUGCAGAAAGCUUUUCAAAACACCCACCUGUACACACUGCGAGACCUUCAGAUAAUGAGAACAGACCUGAAAGAUGAACUAGGAAGGACAGUGGAGGCAAAUGUCACAGGGAAUAUAGCAUUCUUGUGGCAGAAGGACCUCCUGCAUCUCUCCCAACAAAUUCAAACUCUGAAGCAAACUUUUCAGAACAUGAAGCUUGCUGUACAGCGUGACCUUCAAAUGAUCAGAAGAGAGCUGGAGAACAAACUAGGAGAGACAAUGGAGGCAAAAACAAGCACCUUAGAAGCCAGGCUGGAGAAAGACCACCAUGAAGCCUCCCAACAAAUUCAAACUCUGCAGGAAAAUUUCCAGAAGAGAUAUGAGGCCACACAGCGUGACCUUCAGAGGAUCAGAACAGAGUUGGAGCAU
rnacentral:lncRNA from 1 species